rnacentral:tRNA from 1 species
GCUGGUGUAGCUCAAUAGGAAGAGCGACUGUCUUGUAAACAGUCGGUUGCAGGUUCAACUCCUGUCACCAGCU